UUGACCCAGUCUUAAACUGCUAUUAUAAACUGUUUCUAAAUGAUUAAGCAGUAUGAAUAAGGGCCAGAUACUAAAUUCAUGGCUCUGAGUUUACUCUUAAGGUAUUCUCAAGAUACUUUUUAGAAAUAGCUAAGAAUAGUUAAUGGAUAACAAUCUAGAUUACUUUACAUGAAUAGAUGUUUAUCAGAAAUGUCAGAAAUUCACAAAAUGUGACAUUUUAUGUUGUUUAUUCUUUUGUUGUUGAGACAUAUCUGCUCCUAGUUCAGAUCCCCUAUUUGGAUUUAAAAAAAUGAGUGUCUCUACAAAUAGGUUAAGUAAUACAUUGUGGCUAGGUAGCCACUCGCAGAAAUUGCCUAUUUCAUCUGCAGACAAGUUACUGUCCAAGAAAUGAGAGACUACACAAAAGAGUUGACCAAUAUUCUCUGCCAAUUCAGAAUAAUCAGUCCUUCAAAAUUCUGUUACAAAUUCUGUCAGAUGAUCCGGGGCCAGAAGGCCGAAGAAUGAUGUUUGUAUAUGUUUCUAACAAGGAAAUGUACAGGUUGGCAGUUGUCUCUUCUUCUAGUCUCAGUUUGGUAAGCUGAGUUAGACUUCCUUCACUUUCAGAUAGUAUUGGUCUUUCUUAGAUUUGUGAUGGGGUUGAAGACUAAUUACCCAGGCUAUGCAACAUUGAGAAUAUAUACUUAAUUAGAUAAUUUCAGAUAGUAUACAAGAUAGCCAAGAUAUAACACAUAGAUUUGAAACUUUUCUUAGGGAGAGAUAGGAUAGGAUAAAUAGGUAGAUUAUAGAGUAUUCCAUUGAAUUGACAAACGUGAUGAUUGGGUGUUAGGUAUAUUUUAUCCUUUAUAAAUCAUAGAUGGUAAUUUUGCUCAGCUUACAUCUGAGAGAAAAGUUCAUUUUUUAAUUAUACAGAAAAGGUAAAAUGUGGAUUGGUGACUACAUGCAGGUGAAGGCAGGCGCAAGAUAGAGCAAUGGCUAUGAUUGGGUGGUGAAAAAGUAAGGUGGGCACACAAUUUUGGAGAAAGGAGACAGGAGGGGAAGAAGAGAAGAACCAAGAUGGAGGAAAAGAAGGACGACCCAGAUCUGUGUGGACUUAAAGUACCACAGUAGUUAUGAAUAUUUCAUAAGGGAUGGAUUUUAUAGGACAAUUUGUCUUAUGUACUUGGGUAGUUUAUAUCAAUCUUAUUUGGCUCAGAGUUUAGUGUGUGGACAUUAUAUGGAGUGAGAAUUUAUUGAUAUAAAUCUGAUUGAUACAUUAAAAGCUUAUUGAGUUUUGAUUUUAAUGGGUUACUGAGAGUUGUGACAAGAACCACAGGGGGCAGUUGCUGAGAAUAUGAGCAGACUCCACAGCAAAAAAUGCAUGAGAUAGGCAGUCUCUGAAUGGAACUGCAAUGGCAUCGAACAGUGGGAACUAGAGGGAUGGCGAGAUCCCUGCAGAGCCCAGAGAGUAGCUGGCAGCAACAUGGAAUGGAAACUGUGAACUUAGUGAGUCGGGUGGAGACAUUUUGCUGUUUGAGAUGAAAAUACCCAGUGGACCCUAUUAGGCAUGUAUAGAGUGGGAUGAUGUCUUGAUUUUUAUUUAUAUUAUUUACUACUACAUAUAAUUAAGGUACAUAUCAGAACAGUGUUUCAGUACUUCCUAGUAGUAAGAAUUGGACUGCUCAUGCGUGUGUUUCUCCACACAUUUACCUGUCAUAGGCAAUGCAGGAUGUUCCUUAAUGCUGCUGAUCAUUUUCAAGAAGAAAUAAUCUCAAGUAUACCCCAUCAGUUUUGGGUUCUUUUUUGUUUGUUUGUUUGUUUGUUUGUUUUGAGCAUAAUAUAAUCAUUGUUUUUUUUCUGGAGUCCAUCUGAACAAAGAUCGAACUCUACUUAAUUUUAAUAAUCUUUCCAGCAGGGGGAGCCAAUGACACUUGUCUAUCACUUAAUUUAGACUGUCAAUCACUGUAACAAUAGGGAUUGGAGAAAAGAGAAAAUUUUAGUUUCUGAUGCAUUGGUAUUCAAUUCUUCUAUUCCUUCCAGGAUCGGUGUGGCACUUGUUUACUUUCCUAUACACCCAUUGUUCUCCAGUUCAGAGCAAAUACAGCUGCGGGAUUGCAUAACCAUACUCAAAUCCAAAUCUCCAUCAUGAUCUCAAAACCUCAGUACAGGCAGUGAAAAGAUCACCAAAGUGUGACAUUUCAUUGGAUAUUGAGAAGUCUCUUUUGCCCAUUAUUUUUUAUCCUGAAUAUUUCUAAUGGUAUGAACUUAUGAAAAUUAACUAUGGAGACACUAGACCGUAUCAUCUCUAUAUUUGGGACCGUAGAUAUAGCUAUGAAGCAAACUAAGUGUGAAUUUCAUAUCUACUGUGCAUCUUGUCUCCUUCAUGGAAAAGACCCUUGUGCUGUCUUCAGACUAAAUGAAUACCACCUUAGUGAGUGGUUUCCCUUUAUCCUUCAGGAGUGAAUACAACAUAACACACCACAACCAUUGAUUAUAGUAUUAUAAUUAAAUAAAAUUCUUAGUGACAGUGUGUUUUUCUUUUUCUUUCUUUCUUUUAGACUUCAUUUUUCUUUUAUUUUUUAUUGGUUAGUUUAUUUAUUGGCAUUUCAGUUGUGAUCCCCUCUGUAGUUUUACCUCCAACCCCACUCAUACCCUGCUGCCUUCCUCUUGCCUUUAUGAGGGUGCUCCUCCACCUGCCUACCUACACUUGUCUCAAGGCCUGAGCAUUACCCUACCCUGGGUCAUCAAUUAUCCACAGGACAAAGGCAAUCCUAUUUCAUUGAUGUCAGAUAAGCUCAUCCUCUGCUACACAUGCCAUGGGUCCCUGGAUAUGUACUCCUUUGUUGGUGGUUUAGAACCUGGGAGCUUUGAGUGGUCUGCUUGGUUGAUACUGUUGUUCUUCAUAAGUGGUUGAAAACACCUUCAGCACCUUCCACUGGGGUCCCCAUACUCACUCCAAUGUUUGGCUGUGUGCAUUCACAUCUGUAUUGUUCAGGCUCUGGCAGACACUCUCAGCUAUACCAGGUUCCUGUCGGCAAACUCUUCUUUGCAUCAGCAAUAGUGUCUGGUUUUGUUAUCCUAGGAAGAGAAUCCCUAGAUGACCUUUCCUAUGUUUCUGCUCAACUCUUUGUCCCUGCACUUCCAAGAGUAUUUUCUUUGCCUUCACAGUAGGACUGUAGCAUCCACACAUUGGUGUGGUCUUCUUUUUUUUUCCAUUUCAUAUGUUCUCUGAUCUUGGAUAUUCCAAAUUUCUUUUUGGCUAUUAUUCACUUAUCAGUGAAUACAUACCAUGUGUGUUCUUUUGUGACUGAGUUACCUCACUCAAGAAGAAACUCUCUCUUUCAUCAUUCACCUAAGAAUUUCAUUAAGUCAUUGUUUUUAAUAGCUGAGUAGUACUCCUUUGUGUAAAUGCACCACAUUUUCUGUAUCCAUUCCUAUGACGUGGAACACCUGGGUUGUUUCCAGCUUCUGGCUAUUAUAAGGAAGGGUGCUAUAAAUAUGGUAGAGCAUGGCUCCUGGUUAUAUGUUGGAGCAUCUUUUGAGUAUAUUCCCAGGAGUGAUAUAGCUAGGUCCACAGUUAAAAUUAUUAUCAACUUACUGAGGAACCACAAAACUGAUUCCUAGGGUGGUUGUACGAGCUUGCAGUCCCACGAGCAAAGGAAGAAUGUUCCUCUGUCUCCACAUCCUUGCCAGCAUAUGUUGUCACCAGAGUUUUUGAUCUUACCUAUUCUGACUAAUAUAAGGUGGAAUCUCAGGGUCCUUUUAAUUUGCGUUUCCCUGAUGAUUAAGGUUGUUGAACAUUUCCGUAAUUGCUCCUCAGCCAUUUGAGAUUCCUCAGUUGUAAAAUCUCUGUUUAGAUCUGCACCCCAUUCUUUAAUGUGGUUAUUUGGUUCUCUGGAGUCUAACUUCUUGAGUUCUUUGUAUACAUUGGGUAUUUAUCCUCUAUCAGAUGUAGGAUUGAUAAAGAUCUUUUCCCAGUGUUUUUGUUGACAUUUUCUCCUACUGACAGUGUCUUUCACCUUACAAAAUCUUUUCAAUUUUAUGAGGUCCCAUUUGUCGUUUCUUGAUAUUAGAGCAUAAGCCACCGCUUUUUUUUUAUUUUUUUAUUUUAUUUUAUUUUUUUUUUUUUUAGGAAAUUUUCCACUGUGCCAGUAUGUUCGAAAUCAUUCCCACUUUCUCUUCUAGUAGACUCAUAAUGUCUGGUUUUCUGUCUUGAUUAUUGCUAAUGGUAUUAAUCUAGUGAAAUGAUACUUUUCCCUCUACUUUUUCAAAUUAUUUACUACCAACAUUGAAAUAAGUUACCCUUUUGAUGGAUUCCCUAUAUUUGAGAGUGUGAUAUAAUUGCUUAAUGAAAACAUACAUGUGUGAAUAGAUGCAUGAUAAUGGGUAGAAACAGGGUAUGGGUCAUAAUUUGUCUCUAUGGAAGUCUCUUGUAUGUACCCUGUUUAGCAAGCACUUGACUCACUUGAGUUUGAGCAUUGUAAAAGGAGAUAAGAAUGGAUCAAAUUGCAUUCUUAUAUAUGCUAACUGCCAGUUGAACCAGCAUCAUAACGUAAUGAAAUGCUGUCUUUUUUCCAGAUGGUUUUGGAUCUUUUGUCAAAAAUCAAGUGAACAAAGGUGUGUGGGUUCAUAUCUGGGUCAUUAAUUAUAUUCUAAUGAUCUAUCUGCCUGUCUCCUUACAAAUACCAUCCUGUUUUUAUCACUAUUGCUCUGUAGUAUAGCUUGAUGUCAGGGAUGCUGAUUGCCCCAGCAGUUCUUUGUAUUGUUAAGAAUUUUUUUUUCUAUCCCGGGUUUUUGGUAUUCCAGAUAAAUUUGAGAAAUGUUCUUUCUUUCUCUGUGAAGAAUUUUGUUUGAAUUUUGGUAUGAAUUGCAUUGAAUCUUUAGAUUGCUUUUGGUAAGAUAGAAAUUUUUAUUAUAUUAAUCCUGCCAAUCCAUAAGCAUGGGAGUCCCUUCCAUAUUCUCAAAUCUUGUUCAAUUUCUUUCUUUAGAGAUCUUGAAGUUCUUGCCAUAGAAAUAUUUCACUCACUUGGUUAGUGUCACACCAAGAUAUUUCACGUUAUUUGUGACUAUUGUAAAGGACAUAGUUUCCCUGAUUUUUUUUUCUCAGUCAGUUGAUCCUUUGAGUAAUGAAAGGCUUCCUUUUGUUUGAGGUCAAAUUGUUCAAUUUGUAUCCAGCCACUUUGAUGGAGUUGUUUAUCAGCAAUAGGAGUUCUCCAGUGGAUGUUUUGUUUCUCUUAUACAUACUACCAUGUUAUCAGCAAAUAGGAAUAUCUUGACUUCCUUCUUUAUCAUUUGUAUCCCUUUCAUCGUUUGUUGCCUAAUUGCCCUUGCCCUAACUUCAAGUACUAUAUUGAAUAGAUGGGGUUGAGUGAACCGCCUUGUCAUGUCCCUGAUUUUAGUGAGAUUGCUUCAAUAUUGCCCCAUUUUUUUUGAUGUUAGCUAUUUUCUUGCUGUAUAUUGUUUUCAUUAUAAUUAGGAAAGGACCUUGAAUUUCUAUUCUCUCCAACACUUUUGGCAAGAAAUGGUGUUCUAUAUUGUCAAAAACCUUUUCAGCAUCUAAUGUGAUGAUCAUGUGUUUUUUUAUUUUUUUCCGUUGACUUUGUUUACAUGGUGGAAUCUGUUGAUUGAUUUCUGUAUAUGGAUACAUCCAUGCAUCCCUGGAUGAACCCUACUUUGUCUUGCUGGAUGAUCAUUUUAAUGCAUUCUUGGAUUCAAAUUGUAAGAAUAUUAUUGAAUAUUUUGGCAUCAAUAUUCAUGAGGGUAAUUGAUCUAUAGAUCUCUUUGUUUUUUAGGUCAAUGUUUUGUUUAGGUAUCACUGUAACUGUGGCUUCACAAAGUGUGAGGAGCUGUCUGAGGAGCUGUCCUCACAGAGAUGUGAGGAGCUGUCCGAGGAGCUGUCCUCACAUAUGUGAGGAGCUGUCCUCACAAACUCCAUUACAAGAUGGCACCUGCAUCCGGCAGAACGCACCUAGUAAAAAGGGCAAUACGCAGGCGCCUGGUAACGUCCCUACUCAAAGGGACACGUACGUUUUGGUACGUCAUCUGGCAUAAUUGGCAGCGACCAGUCAGAGAGUGACGCGUCCUAGGCGAGGAUAGUUUCCUAUAUAAGGGACGGUUAUUCCUCACUCUCCGUCUCCGCAUUGUAAGCUUAUGCUCUCCCUCUCAAGACGCAUUAAAGCUUUUCUGUAGUAGGAUCCUGUGUGUGCCGCGUCGUUCCUGCUGGCGAGACGUAGCGCGGGACAUCUGGUGCCGAAAACCCGGGAAAGACCUCACCAUCGUCAGCACCUUCGGAGAUCCCUUGGCGACAAGGAGGAUUCAGAACUGCAGGACAAUGAAAUCCCAUAUGGAUCCUAGGACGACUUACUUGGAGCAUCACAGCAAGUGAUCAAGAAGGGACUGGGACUCCUGCACCUCCUCACUCUUCUUCCAUGGAUGCCAGCAACGGUGCAGGGCGAGCUACGAUGGGGAAUAAUGUCAACCUUUCCACUCCCGAUGCCGGUGAUGUACCACUAACAGGGAUUUAGGGUUGGCCUAUUUACCUAAGGAUCCACAGGUUAAACGACUAAAAGAAAAUAGGACUAUUCCCCUUAAGGGCAGCCUUUGUUUUGGCAUAUUCAACAAAACAUCUUUUGAUCUCCCUUGCAUUAUGUUAUAUAAUCAAUCUUCUGCUUGGUUAAGGGAGGCCACAUGGGGAACUGGUGAGGAGGACAUUGUGGCUAACGCCACAGUUCUCUAUGGUGGUGGCCUUACAUUGGGUUAAUGGUAGCUGCACUGAUCUUACGCCCAUAGCGAUGCUACUUGGAGGAAAGGGCGAAAAGGGACGGUUGUCAUUUUCCUGGACGGGGAACAUCAAACCUGCUUCCUCUGUCUGGACAGCUACUCAUAUAAAAUAUCGCAGUAGUUACCCGCAUGCCUCGCUUUAUCCCGAUCCCUGUUGAUGCCCCGGGGACCAUGACCUUAUUUAGAGGAAAAAGAGAUUUUGGUACUUCUGCAAUUAUUGCUGGCAUUAUUGCUACGAGAGCAGUCGCUCCCUCGGUUACUGCCUCGGCAUUGGCCUUGUCAAAUUCAGUACAGACAACCCAAACUAUCAACGAUUUAUCGGCCACCAUCUCUGUGGCUCGGGACAGACAGGCCUCAGCCAAUACUCAGAUAUAGGGAGGCCUUAUGCUUGUCAACCAACGUAUAGAUCUGGUCCGAGAGCAAUUAGACAUUCUAUGGCAACUGGCCCAGCUUGGCUGUGAGCAAAAACUCCCAGGCCUUUGUGUCACCUCCAUAUAAUAUGACAAAUUUACCCGAGCUGCUAAUCUAAGAGUCUUUCACAGCAUCUGUUACAGAAUUGGACCUCGGAGUUUGAACAGACACUUCGGGAGCUGAGAGCGACCAUCAUUCAAAUAAAUUCUACCCGACUGGACCUGUCUUUGACGGAGGGAUUGUCGUCCUGGAUCACCUCAGCAGUCUCUUAUUUCAAGGAAUGGGUGGGAGUGGGACUUUUUGGAGUGAUCCUCUGCUGUGGAUUAGUGUUACUCCUCUGGUUGCUUUGCAAAUUGAGAUCUCAAACAAGAAAGGACAAAGUAGUGAUCGCCCAGGCGCUUGUAGCCCUUGAACAAGGAGCGUCGGCCGAUAUCUGGUUGACCAUGCUCAAGCAACAGGUCGCCGGCUGGACAGCUCUUGCACUCCUAGAACCUCGGUUCAUUGCACAGGAUUAGAGUGUCCGGCUUGAGCAGCCCAUGAGGGGUGACGAGCUUAGCAUCGCACAGGGAAGUUCUACCAAAUAUGCUCCCUGGAAGGCAUGUCAUAUUACAUGAGGGUUUCUGCCCCAGUUUUCCCUCCCUCGAAAAAUGGCAGUGCGACGGGUCGGGAGUGCCCUGGGUCCCAACAACAGCCUAAGGGUAUCUCUCUUGUACAGGUUCGCCAACUUCGUACGAGGAUAUGACCUCUGUCUUCACCCUCCUAUAUCUGGGUGUCCUGUUUGCUUAAAAAAAAAAAAAAAAAAACAGAAAGGGGGGAGAGAUGUGAGGAGCUGUCCGAGGAGCUGUCCUCACAGAGAUGUGAGGAGCUGUCCGAGGAGCUGUCCUCACAAACUCCAUUACAAGAUGGCACCGGCAUCCGGCAGAACGCACCUAGUAAAAAGGGCAAUACGCAGGCGCCUGGUAACGUCCCUACUCAAAGGGACACGUACGUUUUGGUACGUCAUCUGGCAUAAUUGGCAGCGACCAGUCAGAGAGUGACACGUCCUAGGCGAGGAUAGUUUCCUAUAUAAGGGACGGUUAUUCCUCACUCUCCGUCUCCGCAUUGUAAGCUUAUGCUCUCCCUCUCAAGACGCAUUAAAGCUUUUCUGUAGUAGGA